GUGGGGAAUAUUGGACAAUGGGCGAAAGCCUGAUCCAGCCAUGCCGCGUGUGUGAAGAAGGUCUUCGGAUUGUAAAGCACUUUAAGUUGGGAGGAAGGGCAGUAAGUUAAUACCUUGCUGUUUUGACGUUACCGACAGAAUAAGCACCGGCUAACUUCGUGCCAGCAGCCGCGGUAAUACGAAGGGUGCAAGCGUUAAUCGGAAUUACUGGGCGUAAAGCGCGCGUAGGUGGUUUUGUAAGUUGGAGGUGAAAUCCCCGGGCUCAACCUGGGAACUGCCUCCAAUACUGCAUGACUAGAGUACGGUAGAGGGUAGUGGAAUUUCCUGUGUAGCGGUGAAAUGCGUAGAUAUAGGAAGGAACACCAGUGGCGAAGGCGACUACCUGGACUGAUACUGACACUGAGGUGCGAAAGCGUGGGGAGCAAACAGGAUUAGAUACCCGAGUAGUCC
rnacentral:rRNA from 1 species